CGGGCGUGCCUAAUACAUGCAAGUCGAACGAACUUCCGUUAAUUGAUUAUGACGUGCUUGCACUGAAUGAGAUUUUAACACGAAGUGAGUGGCGGACGGGUGAGUAACACGUGGGUAACCUGCCCAGAAGCAGGGGAUAACACCUGGAAACAGAUGCUAAUACCGUAUAACAGAGAAAACCGCCUGGUUUUCUUUUAAAAGAUGGCUCUGCUAUCACUUCUGGAUGGACCCGCGGCGCAUUAGCUAGUUGGUGAGGUAACGGCUCACCAAGGCGAUGAUGCGUAGCCGACCUGAGAGGGUAAUCGGCCACAUUGGGACUGAGACACGGCCCAGACUCCUACGGGAGGCAGCAGUAGGGAAUCUUCCACAAUGGACGCAAGUCUGAUGGAGCAACGCCGCGUGAGUGAAGAAGGGUUUCGGCUCGUAAAGCUCUGUUGUUAAAGAAGAACGUGGGUGAGAGUAACUGUUCACCCAGUGACGGUAUUUAACCAGAAAGCCACGGCUAACUACGUG
rnacentral:rRNA from 1 species